CGAUGUUCUCGGACAGACUUCCAUAAAAAAGGGGGGCGGGGAGGAGAAGAAGGGGGGGUUCGCGCUUCCUUCUCGCUCUCUCUCUGUCUCUCGAAGACCGAUCGGCGACGCUAUAGCUUUGGGUACUUUCAGGACCCGUCUUGAAACACGGACCAAGGAGUCUAGCAUGUACGCGAGUCAUUGGGAUUUUUACUAAACCUAAAGGCGCAAUGAAAGUGAAGGUUUUCCUCGCGAAGACCGUGGGAAGACGGACGGGCGGGCGCGCGGCGCGUACUUCGGUGCGCGUCGCGGUACCGAAACGAUCGCCCGUCCCGCAUUCCCGGGGCGUCUCGUUCGCAUCGCGCGAAGAGGCGCACCGCGAGCGUACACGCUGGGACCCGAAAGAUGGUGAACUAUGCCUGGUCAGGACGAAGUCAGGGGAAACCCUGAUGGAGGUCCGUAGCGAUUCUGACGUGCAAAUCGAUCGUCGGAACUGGGUAUAG
rnacentral:rRNA from 1 species